GAGGACUCCAUCUGCAGCCUGAAGACAUGGCAAAGAUUACAGUCUCUCUCUGCGCACUGCUGGGGCUUCUGCUGGUCUUAGCUUCCGAGGGGGAAACCAGUAAGUAGGACAAGUGCUUUCACAUCAGCACGCAGUGUGUGUGACUUCAUGUCAGCUAAACCUGAAGAGUUCUCGGCCUCACCCUCUUAGUCUUGAUCUCUUUACAGCUCAGUAGAUAAAAAGUGCAACGGCAAACAAGUGCUGGUGUUUAAUGUGUCGGUCGGUUUGUCUGUUACAGGAGUAGGUACACCAAGCAGGGGAUGCUGCACACGAUUCAUCAAGGAUCUGCCUUUGAACAGAAUCCGUGGUUUCAUCGAGGAACGCCAAGGGAUAUGUCGUCUCAAAGCAGUCAAGUGAGUCAAAAUCACCCUCUUGGUGUGAAAGUAGAGAUCAGCAAGGAAGUUGUACAAUCAGGCAUCUUUUCACAGGUGUUAUACUUCCCCAGUUACUGUGAUGUGGCUACAGUCAUUUUGAGGAAGUCACUGCUGUACCUGAUUGUGUGGUGCCAGAGCUGAUCUGGUUCAGUCUGUUUAGUGUCUGACAAAAACAGGGCAGCAAGUGCAGGAAGAACCAAGCUGGAUCCAUUCUGCACAGAACAUAUCAUAUAGAUUAUAUACAAUUAACUAAAACUUACUCCUUCUUUCUCUCCACAG
ensembl:lncRNA